ACUCAAAUUCAAAAGUGCUGAAUGGAACCUUGUUUGAUGAAUCAUCUCCCAUCCACAAUUUUAUGCAUCAGCUAAGAUAUAGUGUUUGAUUAUGUUGUCCCCUGUAACUGAGCAAGGAAAGAGGGAAGUUAACUGAAGAGUAAAUAGUCUGGCUCUGAAAGGGGUCUCAGAAGGGAGGGUAACAGAGGGAGGAGCUAUAUAAUGAGGAUGGCAACUAAGAGCAAAAGGGCAGUGUCAUGAAUACCACUGAGGACUAACAACCUGGUGCUGGUCUUUUUGUAUUCAUCCUUAUUGAUCCCAGCCUGUCCAGUGCAAAUGCACCACUUAUCAGAAUGCAGAGAGGGUGUAAAAAUGGAAAGAAGAAGCAUCCACUGGAUGGGGACCGCUGGGGACAGUGAUGUAACAGGUAAAACCACCAAUCAGGGUCAUGGAAGUCAAUUCUAGCUUCCUCACCCAGGCUAUGCUUCCUAGACGACGCCCAUCUGAGACCGGACUCCACCAUGAGCUUCAGGCUUCUCUGCAGUGUGACCCUCUGUCUCCUGGGUGUAGUCCCCAUGAACACUACAAUUAUCCAGACACCAAGAUAUCUGGUUAUGGGAACAGCAAACAAGAAGUCUUUAAAAUGUGAACAACAUCUGGAACAUAAUGCCAUGUACUGGUAUAAACAGAAUGCUAAGAAGCCUCCAGAGCUCAUGUUUGCUUACAACUAUCAGCAACUGGUCCAAAAUGAGACAGUGCCUAGCCGCUUCUCACCUUGGUGCUCAGAAAAAUCUCACAUCUACCUUAACUUGACUGCCUUGCACCCAGAAGAUUCAGCAGUGUACCUCUGUGCCAGCAGCCAAGACACAGCCCUGCAGAGCAACUGCCUUCCUGUGCACAAACCUGUGGGUCCCCGGGGGAGCUUUGGGGGCAAAUGAGGGCUCUGAUGCAGA